GAUUAAGAACGCAGCGAAAUGCGAUAAGUAAUGUGAAUUGCAGAAUUCAGUGAAUCAUCGAAUCUUUGAACGCACAUUGCGCCCGCCAGUAUUCUGGCGGGCAUGCCUGUUCGAGCGUCAUUACAACCCUCAGGCCCCCGGGCCUGGCGUUGGGGAUCGGCGGAAGCCCCCUGCGGGCACAACGCCGUCCCCCAAAUACAGUGGCGGUCCCGCCGCAGCUUCCAUUGCGUAGUAGCUAACACCUCGCAACUGGAGAGCGGCGCGGCCACGCCGUAAAACACCCAACUUCUGAAUGUUGACCUCGAAUCAGGUAGGAAUACCCGCUGAACUUAAGCAUAUCAAUAAGCGGAGGA
rnacentral:misc_RNA from 1 species